GUGUGUGUGUGUGUGUGUGUGUGUGUGUGUCAGUAUGUCUAUCAGUGUAUGUGCCUGACAAAGACAUACUGACACACACACAGGCACAUACACUG